GGACGGGUUUAGUAACGCGUGGGAACAUACCCUUUUCUACGGAAUAGCCUCGGGAAACUGAGAGUAAUACCGUAUAAGCCCUUCGGGGGAAAGAUUUAUCGGGAAAGGAUUGGCCCGCGUUAGAUUAGAUAGUUGGUGGGGUAAUGGCCUACCAAGUCUACGAUCUAUAGCUGGUUUUAGAGGAUGAUCAGCAACACUGGGACUGAGACACGGCCCAGACUCCUACGGGAGGCAGCAGUGGGGAAUCUUAGACAAUGGGCGCAAGCCUGAUCUAGCCAUGCCGCGUGUGUGAUGAAGGUCUUAGGAUCGUAAAGCACUUUCGCCAGGGAUGAUAAUGACAGUACCUGGUAAAGAAACCCCGGCUAACUCCGUGCCAGCAGCCGCGGUAAUACGGAGGGGGUUAGCGUUGUUCGGAAUUACUGGGCGUAAAGCGUACGUAGGCGGAUUGGAAAGUUGGGGGUGAAAUCCCAGGGCUCAACCCUGGAACUGC
rnacentral:rRNA from 1 species